rnacentral:rRNA from 1 species
UGCCAGCAGCCCCGGUAAAACCAGCACCCCAACUGGCCAGGAUUAUUAUUGGGCCUAAAGCAUCCGUAGCCGGCGCUAUAAGUUUUCGGUUAAAUCUGUACGCUCAACGUACAGGCUGCCGGGAAUACUGUAGCGCUAGGGAGUGGGAGAGGUAGACGGUACUCGGUAGGAAGGGGUAAAAUCCUUUGAUCUAUUGAUGACCACCUGUGGCGAAGGCGGUCUACCAGAACACGUCCGACGGUGAGGGAUGAAGGCUGGUGGAGCAAACCGGAUUAGAUA